rnacentral:lncRNA from 13 species
UGCAGAAAUUGCUUCCUAGUCCCCGGCUAACACGUGUUCUUUCAGUGGGUCUAAAGGAAUGCCUACAAACUAUUGGCGGUAAAGAAAGGAUUGUUGUGGAAUCUUUGGGGUGUCGAUUUUCUUCCCGGAAAACUCGGUGGUCAGUGGCACUUUCUUGAGUCCAGAAGAAUGAAGUAAGCAGACGUAUGAAGGGCGAACAAGGUGAAGAUGAGCUUUAUUAAGUGUUACAGCAGCUUGGAGGAGACCGCAGUGGGCAGGUGCACUCUGCAGCAGGUCAGCCGUGGGCCCUACUCUGGCUGAGCCCAGGGCUUUUAUGGAGCUCAGAGGGGAGGAAGUGCGAAGGGCCCGUGGGCGCCACGGGCAGGCCGGAAGAGGCACCCCAAGUCCCCACUCUGGUCUGCCGCCUAACAACCCAGCUGCAGCCUCCAGCCUCUCCCUGGCCUGAGGUGGGGCCUUGCUGGGGGCCCACCCCUUCCGCCCGGGGUCCGCCCCUUCGUCCUGGGGGUCCGCCCCUUCCGCCCGGGGGUCCGCCCCUUCCUCCUGGGGGUCCGCCCCUUCCGCCCGGGGGUCUGUCUGCCUCCCCUCCCGCUGCGGUUCGCGGGCCCCUGGGGCUCGUCCUGACCGGCGUUCUGAGACUGGGGCAGCCAGGAGGGAAGACAGUCCGGGCGGCUGAGCAGACCCCGAGCCUACUUCUCCAGGUAAUGUCUAGGGCUUGUGUCAUCCAAGGAAGCCACAUGGUCCAGGGCUGUAGGUUGUGCAGGAUCAUUUUCUUCAUCUCUGGUACUGGGCAUAUACUGGGGCCAAGCAGUUGGGCUUGA